rnacentral:tRNA from 1 species
UGCCCGAUGGUGUAAUGGUAGCACAAACGACUCUGACUCGUUUUGUCUAGGUUCAAGUCCUAGUCGGGCAGCCA